GACGAACGCUGGCGGCGUGCUUAACACAUGCAAGUCGAACGGAAAGGCCCUGCUUUUGUGGGGUGCUCGAGUGGCGAACGGGUGAGUAACACGUGAGUAACCUGCCCUUGACUUUGGGAUAACUUCAGGAAACUGGGGCUAAUACCGGAUAGGAGCUCCUGCUGCAUGGUGGGGGUUGGAAAGUUUCGGCGGUUGGGGAUGGACUCGCGGCUUAUCAGCUUGUUGGUGGGGUAGUGGCUUACCAAGGCUUUGACGGGUAGCCCGCCUGAGAGGGUGACCGGCCACAUUGGGACUGAGGUACGGCCCAGACUCCUACGGGAGGCAGCAGUGGGGAAUAUUGCACAAUGGGCGGAAGCCUGAUGCAGCAACGCCGCGUGCGGGAUGACGGCCUUCGGGUUGUAAACCGCUUUCGCCUGUGACGAAGCGUGAGUGACGGUAAUGGGUAAAGAAGCACCGGCUAACUACGUG
rnacentral:rRNA from 1 species